CGGUUGUGUGGGACUGUGACAGGGUCCAAGUGGACCUGUUUCGUGUCCGGCCCCCUAAGUCUUACGUCCCUGUCCCCAGGGUGUCCUUCAAAACCUGCCUCCUGCAGAAUCUACAGCUAGCAGACCAGCGACCAGAGCGUUUCCCCUGCCCAUGGAAACCCAGGCAGACCAUGCAUCUCAGGAACCCCGGCCCCUGUUAGAGAGCACUCUUUCUUCUUCAAAAGUCCCUUCCUUUCCUGACAAGGACAGUCUCGGGGACAAGAUGUUGGCUGCUGCACUUCUAAAGGCCAAGUCCCAGGAGUUGGUGACAUUUGAGGAUGUAGCUGUGUACUUCAUCUGGAAAGAGUGGAAGCGUUUGGAG
rnacentral:lncRNA from 1 species